AACGAACGCUGGCGGCGUGGCUAAGACAUGCAAGUCAAACGGUCCAGUAAUUUAUUAUUGGAUAGUGGCGAAAGGGUUAGUAAUGGAUAGGUAACGUGCCCUCCGCUUCGGAAUAGCGUCGGUUGCUUCGGCAACCUUCCGAAAGGGGCAAUAAUACCGAAUAAUAUUACUUGUCGAUGGGCAAGUAAUCAAAGAUUUAUCGGCAGAGGAGCGGCCUAUCUCUUAUCAGCUUGUUGGUGAGGUAAUGGCUCACCAAGGCUAUGACGGGUAGCGGGACUGAGAGGUUGACCCGCAACAUCGGGACUGAGACACUGCCCGGACCUCCACGGAGGGCUGCAGUAACGAAUAUUGCGCAAUGGGCCAAAGCCUGACGCAGCGACGCCGCGUGCGGGAGGAAGUCCCUCGGGAUGUAAACCGCUGUCAGGGAUAAGAAAGUCCGCUUCGGCGGAUUGAUCCGUCCCAAAGGAAGUCACGGCUAACUUCGUGCCAGCAGCCGCGGUAAGACGAAGGUGGCAAGCGUUGUUCGGUAUCACUGGGCUUAAAGGGUGUGUAGGCCGAAAGGUAAGCGUCCUGUGAAAGCCCCCGGCUCAACCGGGGAACUGCGAGACGUACUGCCUUUCUUGAGGCAAGUAGGGGUGCACGGAACUCUUGGUGGAGCGGUGGAAUGCGUAGAUAUCAAGAGGAACGCCGGUGGAGAAAUCGGUGCACUGGGCUUGUCCUGACGCUGAGACACGAAAGCGUGGGGAGCGAACGGGAUUAGAUACCCCGGUAGUCCACGCCGUAAACGAUGUCUACUAGGUUGUGGUGGUUCUGACGCCAGCACGGCCGAAGCAAAAGUGUUAAGUAGACCGCCUGGGGAGUACGGCCGCAAGGCUA
rnacentral:rRNA from 1 species